CCCCUGGUGGCGAGUGGCGAACGGGUGAGUAAUACAUCGGAACGCGUCCUGUAGCGGGGGAUAACCUCUCGAAAGAGAGGCUAAUACCGCAUACGACCUACGGGUGAAAGAGGGGGAUCGCAAGACCUCUCACUAUAGGAGCGGCCGAUGUCGGAUUAGCUAGUUGGUGGGGUAAAAGCCUACCAAGGCUACGAUCCGUAGCUGGUCUGAGAGGACGACCAGCCACACUGGAACUGAGACACGGUCCAGGCUCCUACGGGAGGCAGCAGUGGGGAAUUUUGGACAAUGGGCGCAAGCCUGAUCCAGCCAUGCCGCGUGGGUGAAGAAGGCCUUCGGGUUGUAAAGCCCUUUCGGCUGGGACGAAAAGGUCCGUGUUAACACCACGGACUCAUGACGGUACCAGCAGAAGAAGCACCGGCU
rnacentral:rRNA from 1 species